AGCUUUGCAACAAACGCAGGCACUGCUGGUGAGGACGAUUUUGAUGCAAAGACAAUGGAUAUAACGUUUGAACCUGGUGAAACGGAAAAGUGGGUAGAAAUCGAUAUAACUGAUGAUAAUCUGUUAGAACCAACCGAAUCCUUUGGAGUAUCCUUGGUGUCUUCUUCUGUAGACGCUGUGAAAUUGGGAAAUCCAUCUUCUGUGAAUAUUCUUGAUAAUGAUG